GUAACACUAAUUACUUAACAAGAAAGUAUUAUUCAUAUUCCAAUUUCAUCUAUGAGGUGGCUGAGACAUAGGUAAAGUCCACGGUCCCAUGGUGGACAAAUACAGAGUGGGAUUCCUGAGUGGGCAGUCCAGAGCCCAAGCCCUUAACUUCUGUGCCAUUCUAUCCCACAUCCCUGCAUUUCUAGGUUGGGGGCCUGAGGCUGUUGCUUUUGGUUGAUGACUCAUCAUAUGCUGAAGAGGUAAAAUGUCAAGGCUCCCCAAGCUGCUCAGUGGGUUAGAGGCUGUCUUAAAACAUUAACAUGUGCACAGUGCAGUGAUGGGCAUAUCAUCCUCCCUCCCCACACUUAUACUCCUCAAUGGAACUACAGGAAGUUCUUCACAUCAAGAUCUCUAUCCCACACGUUCAGUCUCAACUCUGCCCUUCCAGGACACUUGAGAAGGGCCAGAGUUAUACAGGAAGAUAUACAGGUGGCUGGUAUCCGGUCUGAGAUUGUGCACAAGAGAGGGAUCCCAGCUUCCUGAUACUUCUACCACAGAGUGUUUCUGCUCUCAGGUUAACUAAGGAAGUUCCUUAUUUAAAGGUAUACUUGGGGGAUCCCUGGGUGGCGCAGCGGUUUGGCACCUGCCUUUGGCCCAGGGCGCGAUCCUGGAGACCCGGGAUCGAAUCCCACGUCGGGCUCCCGGUGCAUGGAGCCUGCUUCUCCCUCUGCCUGUG
rnacentral:lncRNA from 1 species